CCCUUAGAUGUUCGGGGCCGCACGCGCGCUACACUGAAGGAAUCAGCACGUCUUUCUCCUUGUCCGAAAGGACUGGGUAACCCGCUGAACCUCCUUCGUGCUAGGGAUUGGGGCUUGUAAUUCUUCCCCAUGAACGAGGAAUUCCCAGUAAGCGCGAGUCAUAAGCUCGCGUUGAUUACGUCCCUGCCCUUUGUACACACCGCCCGUCGCUACUACCGAUUGGAUGGUUUAGUGAGAUCCUCGGAUUGGUCCCAGCGCGGCCUCUGGUCGUGCCGGAGUGCCGAAAAGAAUGUCGAACUUGAUCAUCUAGAGGAAGUAAAAGUCGUAACA
rnacentral:rRNA from 1 species